rnacentral:rRNA from 1 species
GAUGAACGCUAGCGGCAGGCUUAAUACAUGCAAGUCGUGGGGCAGCAGGUCUGUAGCAAUACAGAUGCUGGCGACCGGCAAACGGGUGCGUAACACGUACGCAACCUUCCCGUUACUGUGGCAUAGCCCCGGGAAACUUGGAUUAAUACCACAUAUUAUCUUGAAGAGGCAUCUCUUUGGUAUCAAAGGUUCGGCGGUAACGGAUGGGCGUGCGGUUGAUUAGGUAGUUGGCGGGGUAACGGCCCACCAAGCCUAGGAUCAAUAGCUGAUGUGAGAGCAUGAUCAGCCACACGGGCACUGAGACACGGGCCCGACUCCGACGGGAGGCAGCAGUCAGGAAUAUUGGGCAAUGGACGCAAGUCUGACCCAGCCAUGGCGCGUGAAGGAUUAAGGUCCUCUGGACUGUAAACUUCUUUUCUCUGGGGCGAAAACCAUCUAUUCUUAGGUGUUUGACAGUACCAGAGGAAUAAGCACCGGCUAACUCCGUGCCAGCAGCCGCCGUAAGAC